GAUGAACGCUAGCUACAGGCUUAACACAUGCAAGUCGAGGGGCAGCAGGGAUUUAGCUUGCUAAAUCCGCUGGCGACCGGCGCACGGGUGCGUAACGCGUAUCCAACUUUCCCGUUACUCAGGGAUAGCCUUCCGAAAGGGAGAUUAAUACCUGAUGGUGUUUGAAGUUCGCAUGUUCUUCAAACUAAAGAUUUAUCGGUAACGGAUAGGGAUGCGUGACAUUAGAUAGUAGGCGGGGUAACGGCCCACCUAGUCUACGAUGUCUAGGGGUUCUGAGAGGAAGGUCCCCCACACUGGAACUGAGACACGGUCCAGACUCCUACGGGAGGCAGCAGUGAGGAAUAUUGGUCAAUGGUCGGAAGACUGAACCAGCCAAGUAGCGUGAAGGAUGAAGGUUCUAUGGAUUGUAAACUUCUUUUAUACGGGAAUAAACCUCCCACGUGUGGGAGCUUGUAUGUACCGUAUGAAUAAGCAUCGGCUAACUCCGUGCCAGCAGCCGCGGU
rnacentral:rRNA from 1 species